AUGGGCACAAAGGCAAUGCUGGCACACAGAGGGUCAGUCUCUGGCCAAACAGUGGCUGAACACAACACAGCUGAUGGCAGAGCUGGCAAAAGAUUCACCACGUCACACAAGAGUGUGAUUCUACACAAGAUCCAUGAGAUUACUGGCCACAACUGUGUAUGACUCAGACUUUGUUCCAAGCUCCGAGACAUCAGGAGCCCCCUCCCCUAGUGAGAUCCAGAUUCUUUCCGGACCAGAAAUAAUAGUGACCUGAAAUCAACACAAUCUAGACAAAAGGCAUUUUUAUGAAGCAGUUGCAAAGAUCCCACACAUUUCUCCAGGAGAAAAGGGUUAAAAGUAGCUAGGGCUGGUUGUUGUCAAAUGGUCAAAGGGAAAGACUGGCAGUUUGGAGGGCUUUGCGUCACAAGGUAUUGCCUAGAGGAGGCACUACAGAAUGGUCCAGUUUAUUAUCGUAUUCUGCAGAAGGUCCAGGACUCGCAGUAGGGAAGGCCUAGGUUCGGAUUCUGCCUCUGAUGCUGGUAGUGUCACUGCGAGCAAGGUGCUUUCACUUUUCUGAAACUCAACCUCCUCAUCAUUAAAUGGUGCCAAUUAAUAUCUGAAGUGCCUACCUCAUAGGGUUGUUGGGAGCCUUAGAUGAGAUAAUGUCAGUAAGUGCUUUGCAAGCUUGAAAAUGCCAUAUAAAUAUCUGGUAGUAUUAUUAUUAUUACCCCUUUUAACUUCAGCCAUAUUAGUUUUGGCUCACUGUUCUAACCUGUACAGACACAUUUGGAUCUUGACUCAUCUAUCCUUUUGAACUAUCCAUCCCAACUUUGUCAUCUGCAGACUAAGUGGGCCACCUGUUUUCAUCCAAGGAAUUACCAAAAAUAUUGACUAGAACAGAGCCCACGCCAGUCCCUGAGGUGCACCACUAGAGACUCCUCUCCAAGUUAACAUCUAUUCACCACUGAGUACAUAAGUCAUUAACUGUGGUCAUCUACUACUUCUUAAUCCACCUGACUGUAUUUUAAUCAUACAAUCCAUCUUGAUCUCAAGGAUGUAUGGAGAGACUUUGUCAAAUGCUUAGCUGAAAUCUAGGUGUUCCCCAACCUGCCAGUAGAAAAAACCCUGUCAAAAAUGAUUGUUCAU
rnacentral:lncRNA from 1 species